GCAGCAGUAGGGAAUCUUCCACAAUGGACGCAAGUCUGAUGGAGCAACGCCGCGUGAGUGAAGAAGGGUUUCGGCUCGUAAAGCUCUGUUGGUAGUGAAGAAAGAUAGAGGUAGUAACUGGCCUUUAUUUGACGGUAAUUACCUAGAAAGUCACGGCUAACUACGUGCCAGCAGCCGCGGUAAUACGUAGGUGGCAAGCGUUGUCCGGAUUUAUUGGGCGUAAAGCGAGUGCAGGCGGUUCAAUAAGUCUGAUGUGAAAGCCUUCGGCUCAACCGGAGAAUUGCAUCAGAAACUGUUGAACUUGAGUGCAGAAGAGGAGAGUGGAACUCCAUGUGUAGCGGUGGAAUGCGUAGAUAUAUGGAAGAACACCAGUGGCGAAGGCGGCUCUCUGGUCUGCAACUGACGCUGAGGCUCGAAAGCAUGGGUAGCGAACAGGACUAGAUACCCUGGUAGUCCAUGCCGUAAACGAUGAGUGCUAAGUGUUGGGAGGUUUCCGCCUCUCAGUGCUGCAGCUAACG
rnacentral:rRNA from 1 species